rnacentral:rRNA from 1 species
GAUGAACGCUGGCGGCGUGCCUAAUACAUGCAAGUCGAGCGAACAGACGAGGAGCUUGCUCCUUUGACGUUAGCGGCGGACGGGUGAGUAACACGUAGGUAACCUACCUAUAAGACUGGGAUAACUUCGGGAAACCGGAGCUAAUACCGGAUAAUAUUUCGAACCGCAUGGUUCGAUAGUGAAAGAUGGCUUUGCUAUCACUUAUAGAUGGACCUGCGCCGUAUUAGCUAGUUGGUAAGGUAACGGCUUACCAAGGCAACGAUACGUAGCCGACCUGAGAGGGUGAUCGGCCACACUGGAACUGAGACACGGUCCAGACUCCUACGGGAGGCAGCAGUAGGGAAUCCUCCGCAAUGGGCGAAAGCCUGACGGAGCAACGCCGCGUGAGGGAUGAAGGUCUUCGGAUCGUAAAACUCUGUUAUUAGGGAAGAACAAACGUGUAAGUAACUGUGCACGUCUUGACGGUACCUAAUCAGAAAGCCACGGCUAACUACGUG